rnacentral:rRNA from 1 species
CCAAUAGCGUAUAUUAAAGUUGUUGCAGUUAAAAAGCUCGUAGUUGAACUUCGGGAUUUGCUCAUUGGUCAGGCUUCACUGUCUGUACUGGUGUAACGAAUUCCUACCUUCUGAUGAAUCUUCAUGCCAUUCAUUUGGUGCGGAGGGGAAUCAGGACUGUUACUUUGAAAAAAUUAGAGUGUUUAAAGCAGGCUAUUGCUCGAAUACAUUAGCAUGGAAUAAUAGAAUAGGACGGUUGGUUCUAUUUUGUUGGUUUCUAGGAUCACCGUAAUGAUUAAUAGGGAUAGUUGGGGGCAUUAGUAUUCAAUUGUCAGAGGUGAAAUUCUUGGAUUUAUUGAAGACUAACUACUGCGAAAGCAUUUGCCAAGGAUGUUUUCAUUAAUCAAGAACGAAGGUUAGGGGAUCGAAGACGAUCAGAUACCGUCGUAGUCUUAACCAUAAACUAUGCCGACUAGGGAUCGGACGAAGUUAAUUUUUAAAUGACUCGUUCGGCACCUUACG